rnacentral:rRNA from 1 species
AUUAAUACCUCAUGGUAUUAUAGAAUGGCAUCUAUUUUAUAAUUAAAGUUCCAACGGUACAAGAUGAGCAUGCGUCCUAUUAGCUAGUUGGUAUGGUAACGGCAUACCAAGGCAACGAUAGGUAGGGGUCCUGAGAGGGAGAUCCCCCACACUGGUACUGAGACACGGACCAG